rnacentral:rRNA from 1 species
ACUUUUAACAAUAGAUCUCUUGGUUCUAGCAUUAAUAAAGAACGCAGCGAAAUGCGAUAAGUAGUGUAAAUUGUAGAAUUUAGUAAAUUAUUAAAUCUUUAAACGCAUAUUGCGCCCCUUAGUAUUCUAUAGGGCAUGCCUGUUUAAGCGUUAUUUGUACCCUUAAGCUCUGCUUAGUGUUAGGUGUUUAUUCUACUUAGGACUCGCCUUAAAACAAUUAGCAGCUGGCACAUUAGCCUAGAGCGCAGCAUAUUUUACGCCUCUUAUUAUAAUUGUUAGUAUCUAUUAAGACACUUUUUAAGCUCUUAACCUUGGAUUAGGUAGGGAUACCCGCUGAACUUAAGUAUAUUAAUAAGCGGAGGAAAAGAAACUAAUAGGGAUUGCCCUAGUAACAGCGAGUGAAGCAGCAACAGCUUAAAUUUAAAAUCUAGCUCUUUUAGGGUCUAAGUUGUAAUUUGCAGAGGGCGCUUUAGCGUUAGUAGUGGUCCAAGUUCCUUAGAAUAGGACGUUAUAGAGGGUAAGAAUCCUAUACGUAGUUGCUAGCCUUUGCUGUGUAAAGCCCCUUUAAUAAGUUAAGUUAUUUAGGAAUAUAGCUCUAAAUAGGAGGUAAAUUUCUUCUAAAGCUAAAUACUAGCUAGAGACUAAUAGCGCAUAAGUAGAGUAAUUAAAAGAUAAAAAGCACUUUAGAAAGAGAGUUAAAUAACACGUGAAAUUGUUAAAAGGGAAGCGCUUGUAGCUAGACUUGCCUGUAGUUGCUUAUCUAGGCUUUUGUCUAGUGCACUCUUCUAUAGGCAGGCUAGUAUUAGUUUAGGUGGUUAGAUAAAGGUCUCUAUUACGUACCUCCCUUUAGGGAGGCCUUAUAGGGGAGACGACAUGUAACUAGCCUAGACUAAGGUCCGCGUAUCUGCUAGGAUGCUAGCGUAAUAGCUAUAAGCGGCCUGUCUUAAAAUAUAGACUAAGGAGUCUAACAUCUAUACAAGUGUUUAGGUGUUAAGCCUAGACGCGUAAUAAAAGUAAAUAGAGGUAGGACCCCUUUUAGGGUGCACUAUUAACCAAUCCUAAUGUCUUUAGAAGGAUUUAAGUAAGAGCAUAGCUAUUAGGACCUAAAAGAUAGUAAACUAUGCUUAAAUAGGGUAAAGCUAGAGGAAACUCUAGUAGAGGCUCGUAGUGGUUCUAACGUGCAAAUUAAUUGUUAAAUUUAGGCAUAGGGGCGAAAGACUAAUUAAACUAUCUAGUAGCUAGUUCCUACUAAAGUUUCCCUUAGGAUAGCAGUAACGUAUUUAGUUUUAUAAGGUAAAGCGAAUAAUUAGAGGCCUAGGGGUUGCCUGGCUUUCNNNNNNNNNNNNNNNNNNNNNNNNNNNNNNNNNNNNNNNNNNNNNNNNNNNNNNNNNNNNNUAGUCCUUAUUACUUAAUUAAACGUGGACACUUAAAUAUACUAUUACUAGUAGGCUAUUUUUGGUAAGCAGAACUAGCAAUAUAGGAUAAACUAAACGUAGGGUUAAGGUGCUAGAAUGCACGCUUAUUAGAUACUACAAAAGGUGUUAGUUUAUCUAGACAGUAGGAUAGUAGCUAUAGAAGUUAGAAUCUACUAAGGAGUGUGUAAUAACUUACCUACUAAAUAAACUAGCCCUAAAAAUAGAUGGCGCUUAAGCGUGUUACCUAUACCCCGCCGCUAGGGCAAGAUUUAAGCCCUAGCAAGUAGGCAGGCGUGGAGGCUCGUGACGAAGCCUUAGGGGUAACCCUAGGUAGAACAGCCUCUAGUGCAGAUCUUAGUAGUAGUAGCAAAUACUUAAAUAAGAACUUUAAGGACUAAAGUAGGGAAAGGUUCCGUGUGAAUAGUAGUUAGAUAUAGGUUAGUUAAUCCUAAGAGAUAGGGUAAUUCUGUUUUAAUGUUAGCGCUUAUACUACGCCCUUAAAAGGGAAGCUAGUUAAUAUUCUAGUACCUAGAUAUAGAUUCUCUGUAGUAACGCAACUAAGAGCGGAGACCUUAGCAGGAGCCCUAAGAAGAGUUCUCUUUUCUUCUUAACAGUCUAUUACCCUAAAAUUAGUUUGUCUAGAGCUAGGGUUUAAUAGCUAGAAGAGCGCUACACUUUUGUAGUGUUUAGUGCGCUUCUAAUAAGCCUUAAAAAUCUACUUAAAGAAAUAGUUUUUACGCUAGGUUAUACUUAUAACUGUAGUAGGUCUCUAAGGUAAAAAGCCUCUAGUUAAUAGAAUAAUGUAGAUAAGGGAAGUUAGUAAAAUAGAUCUGUAACUUUAGGAAAAGGAUUAGCUCUAAGGGUUAGGUACGUUAGGCCUUAGGGAGAAGCCUCUAGCGUAGAAGGGCACUAACUGCAAGGUAGGCGCCUCUUAGCGCUAGGGUGCAGACACCCUUAGUAGGUUUUAGCUAUCUAGCGUAUAUUUAAUAACUAACUUAGAACUAGUAUAGAUAAGGGGAAUCUAACUAUCUAAUUAAAACAUAGCAUUGCAAUAGCUAGAAAGUAGUAUUAACGUAAUGUGAUUUCUGCCUAGUGCUCUAAAUAUUAAAGCAAAGAGAUUUAACUAAGCGCGGGUAAAUAGCAGGAGUAACUAUAACUCUCUUAAGGUAGCUAAAUGCCUUGUUAUCUAAUUAGUAACGCGUAUAAAUAGAUUAACGAGAUUCCUACUAUCCCUAUCUACUAUCUAGCGAAACUAUAGCUAAGGGAACAGGCUUAGCUAAAUUAGCAGGGAAAGAAGACCCUAUUAAGCUUAACUCUAGUUUAACAUUAUAAAAAGACAUAGGGGGUGUAGAAUAGGUGGGAGCUUUAGCGCUAGUAAAAUACUACUACCCUUAUUGUUUUUUUACUUAUUUAAUAAAGCAGAGCUAGGCCUUACUACCUAACUUCUAGCGUUUAAGGUCCUUUGUGGGCUAAUCUAGGUUAAAGAUAUUGUUAGGUAGGGAGUUUAGCUAGGGCGGUAUAUCUAUUAAACUAUAAUGCAGGUGUCCUAAGGGGGACUUAUAGAGAAUAGAAAUCUCUAGUAAAGUAAAAGGGCAAAAGUCCCCUUAAUUUUGAUUUUUAGUGUGAAUACAAACUAUAAAAGUGUAGCCUAUUAAUCCUUUAGUCCCUUAAAAUUUGAGGCUAGAGGUGCUAGAAAAGUUACUAUAGGGAUAACUGGCUUGUGGCAGCUAAGCGUUUAUAGCGACGUUGCUUUUUAAUCCUUUAAUAUUAGCUCUUCCUAUUAUACUAAAGCAGAAUUUAGUAAGCGUUAGAUUGUUUACCUACUAAUAGGGAAUGUAAGCUAGGUUUAGACUGUUGUAAGAUAGGUUAGUUUUACCCUACUAAUAACCUUGCCCUAAUAGUAAUACUGCUUAGUAUAAGAGGAACCGCGGUUUUAGAUAAUUAGUUUUUGCGGCUGUCUAACUAGGCAUUGCUAUAAAGCUACUAUCUGCUAGAUUAUAGCUAAACGCCUCUAAGUUAGAAUCUAUGCUAGAACGGGGUGAUUUCUGCCUGCACUAGUUAGAUACAAAUAGGCCUUUGGCCUAGAACCUUACUAGAUUGGCGUUAGCAGCCCUAUUAAAGUUAGAGUUGUUAGCUAGUGUAUUGCAAUUGUACAGUGCGCAGGAUUAAAUCCUUUGUAGACAACUUAGUUGUCUAGCUAGGUCGUGUAAGUAGUUAAGUAGCCUUGUUGUUACCAGCUACUAAGCGUAAGCCCGUUGCUAGCUUAGUUAAAAUUAGGAUAUUAUACCCUCCUUAUUUGCAAAACUGCUGCCUAAAUGGCUACUAUUAAUAGAAGGAAGAGGGCUAUAGCUAACAUGUUAUAUAGCAAUUGCAAGAUAGCAAGGGCUAGAGCUAGAAGCAAUCCUUAUAAAAUAUACAAAAGAAUAGGUUGUGUGUGUACGUACCUUAGGCAGUUAAAUUAUAGCAUAUAAAGAUUAAGAAAGGACAUAAAAUAAUCUAUAUAUAUUUGUAGGCGGUGUUCUAUAACUUAGGGCGUUCUAUAACCCUUUAUUUUUUAGGGGUAGUGUUCUAUAACUUAGGGCGUUCUAUACUUAAAAAAUCUUAUAGGCUAUUCUAUAACUAUAGAUUAUUCUAAACCUUUAGGGCAUUCUAUUAAUGUUUUAAAAAAUCUAGUAGGCUAUUUUAUAAGCUUAUAGCGUUCUAUAACUUUAGGGCGUUCUAUAACUUAGGGCGUUCUAUAACUUAGGGCGUUCUAUAACUUUUUACUUCUUAGGGGUAGUGUUCUAUAACUUAGGGCGUUCUAUACUUAAAAAAUCUUAUAGGCUAUUCUAUAACUAUAGAUUAUUCUAAACCUUUAGGGCAUUCUAUUAAUGUUUUAAAAAAUCUAGUAGGCUAUUUUAUAAGCUUAUAGCGUUCUAUAACUUUAGGGCGUUCUAUAACUUAGGGCGUUCUAUAACUUAGGGCGUUCUAUAACUUAGGGCGUUCUAUAACUUUUUACUUCUUAGGGGUAGUGUUCUAUAACUUAGGGCGUUCUAUACUUAAAAAAUCUUAUAGGCUAUUCUAUAACUAUAGAUUAUUCUAAACCUUUAGGGCAUUCUAUUAGUGUUUUAAAAAAUCUAGUAGGCUAAUUUAUAAGCUUAUAGCGUUCUAUAACUUUAGGGCGUUCUAUAACUUAGGGCGUUCUAUAACUUAGGGCGUUCUAUAACUUUUUACUUCUUAGGGGUAGUGUUCUAUAACUUAGGGCGUUCUAUAACUUUUUACUUCUUAGGGGUAGUGUUCUAUAACUUAGGGCGUUCAAUACUUAAAAAAUCUUAUAGGCUAUUCUAUAACUAUAGAUUAUUCUAAACCUUUAGGGCAUUCUAUUAAUGUUUUAAAAAAUCUAGUAGGCUAUUUUAUAAGCUUAUAGCGUUCUAUAACUAUAGGGCGUUCUAUAACUUAGGGCGUUCUAUAACUUAGGGCGUUCUAUAACUUUUUACUUCUUAGGGGUAGUGUUCUAUAACUUAGGGCGUUCUAUACUUAAAAAAUCUUAUAGGCUAUUCUAUAACUAUAGAUUAUUCUAAACCUUUAGGGCAUUCUAUUAAUGUUUUAAAAAAUCUAGUAGGCUAUUUUAUAAGCUUAUAGCGUUCUAUAACUUUAGGGCGUUCUAUAACUUAGGGCGUUCUAUAACUUAGGGCGUUCUAUAACUUUUUACUUCUUAGGGGUAGUGUUCUAUAACUUAGGGCGUUCUAUAACCUUUUAUUUUUUAGGGGUAGUGUUCUAUAACUUAGGGCGUUCUAUAACUUUUUAUUUUUAGGGGUAGUGUUCUAUAACUUAGGGCGUUCUAUAACCUUUUAUUUUUUAGGGGUAGUGUUCUAUAACUUAGGGCGUUCUAUAACUUUUUAUUUUUAGGGGUAGUGUUCUAUAACUUAGGGCGUUCUAUACCUUUUGUUUAUUCUAUUACUUUAGUGCUUUCUAUAACUUUAGACUAUUCUAUAAUAGUAGCUAUUAUAUCCUUUUUAUAAUCCUUAUAGUAUUAUACUAUUAUCUAUUAUUCUUUACUCUUAAGUAUAUCCUUAUAUUUUAUAAAUCUUUUUCUUUACUAGCUAGUCCUACUAUACUUUUUUAUAACCUACUAGUAUUAAAUAAUACCUUUAUAUUCUUCCUCUAUACUAUCUCUAUUUCUUGCCUUAUAUAUUAAGUAGAUAUAGAUAGAGCUAAUAGAUCUAUAGUUAAUAUAGAUAAAGUAGUUAUAGUAGAGUAUAGAUAUUAGAGUAGAGAUCCUUAUCUAUAUAUUUACCUACUACUAAUAGAAUUCUAAGUUACUCUUAUCUAGCGAAUACAGGUUUAUGGUUUGUAUAGGGCUGCGCAUGUCUACAUGGUUUUAUAUACAAAAAAGUGUACCUCCAAGCUAUUUUCUGCUGCACUAACCCCGCGACGCGAAAAUUAAACCAAAACCUGUUCCUAUAAUAUAUAAGGAGGGUAAAUAGAUUCUUAAAUACUAAAUACCUAACUAACUAACUAAGGUUAAAUCUGCUGCGCGCAGUUCUUGGAUUAGGCAGUUAAACUAGUGUUAUUAGGCACUAAGGGGGCAAUUUUUGCUUGUGUCCGCGUCUAUACUCCCUAUAACUCCCUGUUAUUAGCGCUCUACGCCUGUUUUAGCGGUAGUUAGACUAAAUUUAAAAGUUUUAGUUUUAUAAUAGCUAGCCUUAUUUCCUAGAUUUCUGCCUAGUUUGGAUUCGCUCUAAUUAGUGGGUAAUUAGGGGCUUAGAGAUUGCUCUUCUACUUAACUAGGCAGGCCUAGGCCUAUAUGCUAAAGCAACCCUGCUGUUACGCCUAGUUUUGUGGUUGGCACCUAAAGUCCUACUAUUAAAGUUUUAGUAGUAGGUAAAAUUUAGGGUCUAUAGAUAGCUAGCACUGCUAAACUAUUUAAUAGAUCUUAGGGGAUAGCCCUGCCUAGUAUCUGCUCCUAGUAAGCGUAGUAAAGCGUGAGUUUUCUCUACUUAAGGUAUGUAUGUGGCGAGUUUAAACACGUAGAAACGCCUAUUAGGCUUUGUUGCAGACUAUUCCUUAAGAAACUUAGUAGGGGCAAUUAAAUUAGUUGCUGGUUGUAACUAGUGCCUUGUGUGCUAUUAUGCUAGUAGCUAGAAUUGCUUCUGCGAUUUCUUAUUACGUACUUUCCGCCUCCUUUUAGGGGUAGUGCUUGUGCGCUUUGGCGUAUUAGGCAUUAGGAUUGUUACCUAGUUAAUUCUGCUAGUAGUUAUAUGCUUGU